rnacentral:Y_RNA from 1 species
GGCUGGUCUGAGUGCAGUGGUGUUUACAACUAAUUGAUCACAACCAGUUACAGAUUUCUUUGUUCCUUCUCCACUCCUACUGCUUCACUUGACUAGCCUAAA